CGAUACAUUGUACUGUUGACUUGAAAGAGCGCCUGCUGUUGCGUUGACAUACAUGUUUUGGAUUCAAGGCUAUAAGCUUAGUGAAGCAAACUGCUUGUUGCAGAGCAAAAGACCAUGUUUUCCAAAAUUGGAAGCCAUAAUGAGUGCAACUGCUGAUAUUCUAACUGGGCUGCCCAAGAGCCGUGUCACUUUGACAUGGGAAGACGAUAAUUGUUCGUCAGUGGAAGUGUCUGGACUAGAUAUUGGAUGGGGGACAGAGGAUUCCUUUAGAGUUUGACAAGGAUCAAGGUUUAUGGAUUCUGCAGAAAGAGUUACCAGAAGGGCGCUAUGAGUACAAGUACAUUAUAGAUGGUGAAUGGACCUGUAACAAGUAUGAAUUGAUAACCAGCCCAAACAGUGAUGGGCAUGUAAACAACUAUGUCCAGGUUUACGGUGAUGAUUCAACCAUUGCCACCAGGGAGACUCGAAAACGGUUGACUAGUGAUGAUGUGGAUCUGACUGUUGAGGAACGGCAAAGGAUCAAGGAGUUCUUAGAAUCAUACAUUGAACCAAAUGACGAAGAUAUAAGAUAAAUAGCAGCAUUUGGAUGGUAUCGGUUGUAUCAUAUCUGCUUCCCUGGUACAGGAAACAACAUACCAUCUAGGCGCCAUCAAUAAAUCAGAGAUUGAUCUUCUCUGCGGUUUAGAGAUUAAAUGGAGGCAUGGGUAAUUCUUCCGACACGGGGAACAUGCCAGCCGCCAAGUUAUUAUUUAUGUUUGUAUUUAAUAAAUUUAUUUCAAACAUGCCUACAAUGUGAACAGGUUUAUACAUUCUGUGUAUAUACUCAAGUUUGUGCUAAUGAAAUUUAUUAUCCACUUAAUUUUA